AGAGUUUGAUCAUGGCUCAGAUUGAACGCUGGCGGUAUGCUUUACACAUGCAAGUCGAACGGGCUUGGGGGCUUGCUCCCGGGUUAGUGGCGAACGGGUGAGUAAUAUAUCGGAACAUAUCCGGAAGUGGGGGAUAACGUAGCGAAAGUUACGCUAAUACCGCAUAUGCCCUGAGGGGGAAAGGGGGGGAUCGCAAGACCUCUCGCUUUCGGAGUGGCCGAUAUCGGAUUAGCUAGAUGGUGAGGUAAAGGCUCACCAUGGCGACGAUCCGUAGCUGGUCUGAGAGGACGACCAGCCACACUGGAACUGAGACACGGUCCAGACUCCUACGGGAGGCAGCAGUGGGGAAUUUUGGACAAUGGGCGAAAGCCUGAUCCAGCCAUACCGCGUGAGUGAAGAAGGCCUUCGGGUUGUAAAGCUCUUUCAGCCGGAAAGAAAUUGCACUUCUUAAUACGAAGUGUAGAUGACGGUACCGGAAGAAGAAGCACCGGCUAACUACGUGCCAGCAGCCGCGGUAAUACGUAGGGUGCGAGCGUUAAUCGGAAUUACUGGGCGUAAAGCGUGCGCAGGCGGUUUUUUAAGCCAGAUGUGAAAUCCCCGGGCUCAACCUGGGAACUGCAUUUGGAACUGGAAGACUAGAGUAUAGCAGAGGGGGGUAGAAUUCCACGUGUAGCAGUGAAAUGCGUAGAUAUGUGGAGGAAUACCAAUGGCGAAGGCAGCCCCCUGGGUUAAUACUGACGCUCAUGCACGAAAGCGUGGGGAGCAAACAGGAUUAGAUACCCUGGUAGUCCACGCCCUAAACGAUGUCAACUAGUUGUUGGGGGAGGAGACUUCCUUAGUAACGCAGCUAACGCGUGAAGUUGACCGCCUGGGGAGUACGGUCGCAAGAUUAAAACUCAAAGGAAUUGACGG
rnacentral:rRNA from 1 species